UAUUUUUCUUUAGGAAGGCGCGUUCUCUUAGGGGGAAAUGAAAUACCAAAAAAUUAAACAGCCCGCCAAUGCAUCUCUUUCUUCUUCUUCUUCUAAAUUCCUCUACCAAAAAGCCCUAAUAAUCCUUUAAGCAGUUCAUCUUCCCCUCUCUCUCUCUCUGCAAGCCCUAAGCCGCCACCACUAUCAUCGAACCUCAUAAUCUUUAAAAGUUCGAAGUGCCUAAGCAAACACUUCCGCCAUCUCAAGAUGUUGGUUCAAGAUUGGAACGCCACAUCGCAGUACAUGAUGACAUCAUCGUCUCCACAAACCGCCAUCAAUUCCUAAGAAAAUGAAUGUGACUGGUGAUCAUGAGCCUGGAAAAACCGUAGCACAUCAUCCCUAAAACGCCCAAUAGAAAAAAAAACCUAGAUUUAAAUCCCUAAUUGAUUCAGACGAUGAUCAUGAAGAGAACUUGGAUGAUGUCGCACCUUCUUCACCUUAUGGUUUGACUUCAUGGCAUUUUGAUUCAAAGUUUUAGGUAUUUUCAUAUGGACAUGGUUAGUUUCUGCAGCACCUCAAUUAGGCUGUGUAGUUCUUGCAGAACUUGUUGAUGCAUGGCUAUGGAGAAUUGACACCAAACGGUGACUCUUUACAUCUCAAGUGAGAUUCCAUGGCCCAGCUGCCAAGCUAAGGCCUCAACUUGCACCCGGUGAGCCUGAAUCACCACCUGAAAAAUACCCUGUUCAAGAGAUUCUAGCACAUCGCCUAUGGCUCGGCUUCUUCGUUGAUCGUUUUGAGGUGGUUCGACACAACAAUGUGGAACAACUCUUGCUUCAUGGUAGAAUGUUACAAGCGAGUGAAGCGACUACCAAAUUCCCAUGGGAAUUUGCACAAGUUUAAAUUAGGACUUCAGCUUCUAGAAGACAGGAUUUAGCGGGCUUCAUUAGGCUGGUUCUGCCAUCAACCUGAGUGGUUUGAGACAAAUAAUGGGAAUUUUGCACACAGUGAAGCUCAAUCUGUUCAUUCUUUUGUCCAAUUUUUGUUAAAUCACCAAAUGGAUGUUCCUCAAAAUGAUUCAAUUAAAAGUACAAGGUCAAGAAAAUGGAAAUUUUUUGCUUAAUAUGGAUUCAUCACCCUGUUUGGGGAACAAUGGAGAAUUACGCUGUUGGUAGGCCCAAAGAAAGCAACUACUUUUAAUGCUCUGUCAGCAUGAAGCUGAAAGGCUUGAUGUUUGGGCUAUGUAUGUUCCUCUUCUUGGCUCCAAAGAGAUCAUCACACCCUGGAAGCCUAAGAUUAACCCAAAGAAAUGGAUUGAACAUGCAAGAACAACGUUUGUUGUUGACCCACGGAUUGCUUUCUCUUUAGGUGCUAGAUUUCCUACAAAUUCUCCUCUAAAGAUGGAACUAACUCAUUUGGUUCAGGCAGAUAUAUUAGAGAUUCGCACCAUACCUGAAGCUUUACCUUACUUUGUGACCCCAAAAGCUGUGGAUGAAGAUUCACCACUUUUGCAACAGUUAACACAUUGAGGGUAUUGAAGUCAUAUCCUCCUUCCCGUGUACCCUUUUUCAUGCCACAGCUGAUUCAAGCUCUAAGAUAUGACGAUGAGGGAGAGACAUGUACGCCAGGGCAAGUGGGGAAAGAAGAAAUUGGUUGAGGGAUACCUGGUUAGAGCUGCUCAAAGAAGUGAUGUAUUCUCUCAUAUUCUCAUUUUUACAGGUAGGAUAUGGUGUCACUGCCGGAUGGUGUAUCUACCUAUGUCAUACUUAUAUGGGAAGAGAUUUGUUGGACCUAUCACAUCUACGGUUCUGCCGGAUGUGGUGUCACUGUCGGAUGGUGUAUCUGCUUAUCUGUUACAACAAUGGGAUUCAUCCAAGUUGAUAAGACUACAUGAUUAACUUUUGGAUCCCCUUCAAAAGGUGUCUCAAGGACCUAGAUGGAUUCACUGCAGCUAUUGUUGUGAGUAUUGCCUUCUCUUUCAUUCCUGCUUCGUUAGUUGUUGCUAUUAUGAAGGUAGGCCAUUCUCCGGUUGUAUUUUUCACAUUUUUUACAAGGAAUUGUUGUAUCUAUUUAGAGUAGGCUUAGAGCAAUGGUUGCAAGAUAUGAGUUCAGAAGAAGAAGAAACAAGGCUACAACUAUAGUUCAGGUACUAUGGAUGAAUUAUUUUUGUAAAGUAUUUAAGAUAAUGAUUAGAGACAAGGCUGAAUUUGUACAGAUUAGGUAGCUACUUGCAGGUUGAUCUUGAAUAAGCAGAGGGACAAUGGAUUGUAUUUUUUGUAUCUAAUUCGUUUGUAAAUUUUUGUUACAACUUCUAUUGAUUUGUUUUAUCUUUCCAUUGAACGAUUAUUUGUAUGACAUUAAAUUUAUGGAAUGGAUUCUAUUUUUUGUA